GCAGCUCCAUCUCAGAUAUUUUCUGUUGAAGACAUGGGAUCUGCUACUCUAAAUCCUGGGAAAGAAUUAAGGAGCGCAACUAUUUUCAACAUUGAUGAUAAUAAGAAAAGUUUCUUGAGCAGCAAAUCAGCAUAUUAUCAUGUGACACUGAAGACUGGAGUAAUGGCUGUUGAAAGUUCAGCCUUGCCGUCACAUGAAUAAGUUACAUUUUAAAAUAUAUAUAAAAAAAAUUUUUUUGUAAUAUUUCACAAUACAACUGUUUAUACUGUAAUUUUACUGUCAAAUAAAUGCAGCGUUGAUAAACAUAAGAGACUUCUUUCAAAAACAUAGAAAUCAUACCAACCCCAAACUUUUGUUAAUGAUGGACAAUUUCAAAUGUUUCAUUUUCUUGUUGAAUGUUCUACAGUGACUAGUCUCAGACACUUAAUUUCAGUAAUGCACUGCUGCUUUUCCCAUGUCAAUUUUUUGCUACUUUCAGCAAUAAACAUGCGGUCUAUUCUUUGAAAGGAUGUUGUCCUGCAAAAGUCCCUGAAUCCGCGGUCAUCUAAUGAAGACCUAGAUUCUAGCUAGUUUUUGUUGGCUUGGGUUGUAUCUCUCUAGUUCCAGCACAUCUGGAGUGUGUAAGUUCUUUCAGCGAGGGAUUGCUCUUCUUUGAGUACUGCCCCCCACUAUGAGCCACUCACUGGGGGAUAAGAGUUCCAGGCAGUAGCUGCUCAGUUCUGUCUAGAGACAACACACACACCCACCCAUUACCCAUAAGCCUGCCUUGAGGAUCCACCUCAAGACUUUUUAUAAAUGUGCUAUGGAAAAUUGUAUUUGUGGGAUAGUGUUAUGUCAGACAUGAUAUUAAGGCUAGCUGGCGUGCCAGGACGUCUGUUGUCUUGACGAGAUUAAAAAAAAAAGUAUCUGUUGCGUUUCACUGUUUACAGAAAUUCUUCAGGCUCUAAAUAUUGAAGCCAGUGCCCUUGGAUUUAAAGAAUCUCUAUCAGCAUUAAUCCAUGAAGAUGUCAUUUGAUGGAAUGUCAAUAAAUCAAAGUUUGUUCUUAAA